UGGGGGAGUAUUGCACAAUGGAGGAAACUCUGAUGCAGCAACGCCGCGUGAGGGAAGACGGUCUUCGGAUUGUAAACCUAAGUUAUCAGGGACGAAGAAAGUGACGGUACCUGAAGAGAAAGCUCCGGCUAACUACGUGCCAGCAGCCGCGGUAAUACGUAGGGAGCGAGCGUUGUCCGGAUUUACUGGGUGUAAAGGGUGCGUAGGCGGGUCAGCAAGUCAGGCGUGAAAUCCCACGGCUCAACUGUGGGGCUGCGCUUGAAACUGUGGAUCUUGAGUGAAGUAGAGGCAAGCGGAAUUCCUAGUGUAGCGGUGAAAUGCGUAGAUAUUAGGAGGAACACCAGUGGCGAAGGCGGCUUGCUGGGCUUUAACUGACGCUGAGGCACGAAAGCAUGGGGAGCAAACAGGAUUAGAUACCCUGGGUAGU
rnacentral:rRNA from 1 species